rnacentral:rRNA from 1 species
GGCGACCGGCGCACGGGUGAGUAACGCGUAUGCAACCUACCUAUCAGAGGGGAAUAACCCGGCGAAAGUCGGACUAAUACCGCAUAAAACAGGGGCACCGCAUGGUGAUAUUUGUUAAAGAGAUUCGCUGAUAGAUGGGCAUGCGUUCCAUUAGGUAGUUGGUGAGGUAACGGCUCAUCAAGCCGACGAUGGAUAGGGGAACUGAGAGGUUGGUCCCCCACACUGGUACUGAGACACGGACCAGACUCCUACGGGAGGCAGCAGUGAGGAAUAUUGGUCAAUGGGCGGGAGCCUGAACCAGCCAAGUCGCGUGAAGGAAGAAGGAUCUAUGGUUCGUAAACUUCUUUUGCAGGGGAAUAAAGCGCAGGACGUGUCCUGUUUUGUAUGUACCCUGAGAAUAAGGAUCGGCUAACUCCGUGCCAGCCGCGGC